GCCGAAUAUCAAGGUUUCACGCCAGUUAACCAUCAAUGUUCCAAUAACAACGCCAGUCACGUCUCGUUUGUUAGCAGCCUGCUUUCAAGCAGUCGAGUUACUAAACCACUUUAGUUACUGAAAACCUCAUUUUAAUACCGUAUUUCGACGUUAGAAGUAUUUCUUUUGCCAUACCGGAAAGCUUUUUGUCAUGGCGAAUAUGCACGUAACAUGCUUAUAAACGUCCGAGUCAC